rnacentral:lncRNA from 1 species
GAAGCGCUCCGCGGCGCCCGCCCUCGUCUGGCGCAGAGACCUGGCUGGAAAGACACAGCGUGGCUUCGAUUCCGGCGCCUGCGUGUCACCAGCCCAGGGUGGCCGUGGAAGCUGGACCCGAGCCGCAGGCCCCCCAGGCUGGGCCUGGGAGGAAAGCGGUUUGAAAAAGAUCGGAACUGAGGAACUCUCUUAGAGCGGGGGACUCCCUGCUCCUACAGCCUUAACCAAUGCCCAGCGCUUGGAAAGUGGAGGACUCGGGGAUUCGGGAGCGUUUCAGGCCUGGGGAAAUGGAAGGGUCGGGGACCUAGGUGAAAGGUUAUUUGCCAGAAAUGUCUUGGCUUUUUCAUUUAUUCUGUCUUACCUAGCCCUUCGCCGCCACCUCCAGUCGUUGGCCUCUUACCACCUUCAAAUGCCACCUUUUCCGGAAGAUGUAGCCCUGCGCCCUUGAAACUGGCAAACCCUAUUAGUGUCUGCAAGCUGAGAUGCAGGGUGUGGGCAUAGACACAGAUCAAGAGAUCCGGCCCUGGACCCUCUUGGGCAGAACCUUGCCCUUCUCAUUUCACCUGAAGCCCAAACUUUGUAUGGCAAAGACUUGGUAAUGAUCUCUAUAGAGCUAGGAUUACACAGUUGUCUCAUCCUUUGGGGGCCCUUUAGCCAAACUGUGACCUCCUUAAUGGUGCCUUCGUCAGCUAACAUUAGGCGCCCUGAGGUGCUUCUGCAUACUGCCAUCGUUUACAAUUACUCAUCUUUGUGUACACACCCUAGCACAAGGUCAGCCAUAUAACAUAAAAGAUGCUCAGUGAAUGUUGAGUAAUUGUGAGCAUCUGGAACUUGCCGUGGGAUAAAACGCGUUCAUUGGGAUUUCUUCAUAAUAAUAUGAAGAUUCCAUUUAGCGCCUCUCUGCAAUACUUAAACGUAACCUUUGAGGGGAGAGGGAAAAGAAAAGGCAUGAAAAUAUCUAUAGAGCCAUUUCUGGUGUUCUCCUUCCCUUUUCCACACCCGCCUUCCCACCCCUUGCCAACUAAAUGUUCAUUUGAAUAGUGCUUUUUGGCAAAAUUCCAAACUCCUGCAUUAUGCACUUGUGAUGACACUGAAUUAGAUUAGUGUCUGCAAGGUUAAUGUUCCCUCAGGCAUUAACCUUAGUAAAUCGUGAUGCCUGUUUAGAAAUAGCUAAGGCCCAGAGGUUCAGCUUAAUUUAGACACAGGUAACUAAGAGCAAGAGUAAACCACAGCUCCACAAUCAACUCUCUCUGUGUGCUUUCUCCAUUAAAAAAUAUAAAUUUUAAUAAGAUGACCGCACAUAUUCUGAAUGUUAAUUGCAACAAAACAAUGACACAAGUUAGAGCCAAGGGACAGUUAUCUGGAGGACAGCCUUCUGGCAACUUCUAGCACCCGCAGUGGCAUCAAAUUCAGACGUCAUAAUGAAAAACACCUCUGGCAGCAAGAAAGCCGACUCUCAGUAUUAGGCAGUGGGAAAACUAAUAACUGAAAAGGGCUCAAGGCCUGGAGGUUACAUCCAAUGGGCUAGGAUUGAUUGGUUUGCUAUUAGGAAUAGAUCUAGUUCUCUGCUCAGCAGCCUAACAAGCGAUAGAGAAACAGCUGUCUAAAAUGGGCAGAACGAAGAGCACUACAGGGAUAGUAACAGCAAAAGCGAUGGAAUGUCACUAUCCAUGAGCCUAAAGCAGUUUGGCACAUUGUAGGUGCUCCAUCAAUAUUUGUUGAAAAAACAAAGACAACUCUCAGGUUUCUGGUUUGAGCAACCGGGUGAUUGUGGCUUACUGAGGCAAGAAACACAGAAGGAUACAGAGUCCGAUGGGAAGUGACAAGUUCCUUUUUUGACAUGCUGAGUCCGUGUCUUGUGAGAGCAAUGUCCAGGGCACCUCACAACAUGGGAGCUUGCUUCAUUCACCAGAGCAAACCUGAAAGGAGAAUCCAUGAAAGAGUGUGAGCAAGUCUUCUAUAACCU